rnacentral:lncRNA from 1 species
AAGUCUCCUGGAAAUGCUGACCAAAAAUUUUGGAAUUAUUUUGUAGCGCUAUUACCCUUGUGUCAGAUGUAUAAGAGUCAUCUCUUUGAGAUGGCUUAGUCUGUUUAGGACGUUGGGAGUUCGAUGUGAUCAGCAACGAACUUGGUGGUAGAUUCUACCGCUUGGAUCUUCGCGAAGAGUAUAUGUUUGAGAUGAUGUUAAUGCGUAUGACAAUUCUUUUUUUUUAGACCAUGAUUUUGUCUAUGCGAUGGCUGGCGGGAA